GGCGAACGGGUGAGUAAUGCAUCGGAACGUACCCAGUUCAUGGGGGAUAACGUAGCGAAAGCUACGCUAAUACCGCAUACGCCCUGAGGGGGAAAGCGGGGGAUCGCAAGACCUCGCGUGAUUGGAGCGGCCGAUGUCGGAUUAGCUAGUUGGUGGGGUAAAGGCCUACCAAGGCGACGAUCCGUAGCGGGUCUGAGAGGAUGAUCCGCCACACUGGGACUGAGACACGGCCCAGACUCCUAC
rnacentral:rRNA from 1 species